rnacentral:lncRNA from 1 species
AGAAGGGAAAUUACUUUCCAUUUCACUUUCCAUUUCUUUUUUUCUGGUGGCGGGUUUGGGGCAAGGGAAGAGAUACUAUUUUGUUAACAAAUUCUUCUUCCCUUCCAGUAGAUGUUUCCUGGGGUCAGUACAAAUAGCUGUGUUGGACCUUACUUUUAUAACUAUGUUGUAUACAGUGUUGUUUUCAUUGUAUUUCUGAAUAAAGGGGGAAGAAAGUCUCUAGUGUUGGCCAUCCCUGUUUUUGACAGGAGGUCACAGCAGGAGAGCAGCACCCGAAGCUGACUCUUUUUAUGGUGGGGAAAGGAGCCUGCAGUGAAGGGAUUUAUUGGAUUUUUGUCAUUCUUUAAAGAAGUUAUAAAGCAGUAUAUUACGCAUUAGUCUCUAUGACUCUUCUGUUUGUGCCUCCUUAUUUUAAUAGUGCUUUAGAGCAGCACCUAUUUUCACUCCAUUUUAUACUUGUUCCUGUUGAGGUGUGGUGUUGAGCAAUCUCUCAUAUACAAGUCUUCAUGUACCUGAAGAGAAUUGCCUCAGUAAGCAUGGCUAUCCAGAGCUUACUCUGAUGUAGCUCAGUGGGGCACUCCCAUUGCAGCUUCCAGGCCAGGCUGUGUGCUUGAGUACUAAGCAAUCUUGUUCUGUCUGAUUACUGUACUUUUUUAAUAAUAAAAAUAUUUUAAACCAGAAACC